rnacentral:rRNA from 1 species
UCGGGGUGCUAUACAUGCAGUCGAACGAGUUCUCGUUGAUGAUCGGUGCUUGCACCGAGAUUCAAAUGGAACGAGUGGCGGACGGGUGAGUAACACGUGGGUAACCUGCCCUUAAGUGGGGGAUAACAUUUGGAAACAGAUGCUAAUACCGCAUAGAUCCAAGAACCGCAGGGUUCUUGGCUGAAAGAUGGCGUAAGCUAUCGCUUUUGGAUGGACCCGCGGCGUAUUAGCUAGUUGGUGAGGUAAUGGCUCACCAAGGCGAUGAUACGUAGCCGAACUGAGAGGUUGAUCGGCCACAUUGGGACUGAGACACGGCCCAAACUCCUACGGGAGGCAGCAGUAGGGAAUCUUCCACAAUGGACGCAAGUCUGAUGGAGCAACGCCGCGUGAGUGAAGAAGGCUUUCGGGUCGUAAAACUCUGUUGUUGGAGAAGAAUGGUCGGCAGAGUAACUGUUGUCGGCGUGACGGUAUCCAACCAGAAAGCCACGGCUAACUACGUGCCAGCAGCCGCGGUAAUACGUAGGUGGCAAGCGUUAUCCGGAUUUAUUGGGCGUAAAGCGAGCGCAGGCGGUUUUUUAAGUCUGAUGUGAAAGCCCUCGGCUUAACCGAGGAAGCGCAUCGGAAACUGGGAAACUUGAGUGCAGAAGAGGACAGUGGAACUCCAUGUGUAGCGGUGAAAUGCGUAGAUAUAUGGAAGAACACCAGUGGCGAAGGCGGCUGUCUGGUCUGUAACUGACGCUGAGGCUCGAAAGCAUGGGUAGCGAACAGGAUUAGAUACCCUGGUAGUCCAUGCCGUAAACGAUGAAUGCUAGGUGUUGGAGGGGUUUCCGCCCUUCAGUGCCGCAGCUAACGCAUUAAGCAUUCCGCCUGGGGAGUACGACCGCAAGGUUGAAACUCAAAGGAAUUUGACGGGGGCCCGCACAAGCGGUGGAGCAUGUGGUUUAAUUCGAAGCAACGCGAGAACCCUUACCAGGUCUUGACAUCUUUUUGAUCACCUGAGAGAUCAGGUUUCCCCUUCGGGGGCAAAAUGACAGGUGGUGCAUGGUUGUCGUCAGCUCGUGUCGUGAGAUGUUGGGUUAAGUCCCGCAACGAGCGCAACCCUUAUGACUAGUUGCCAGCAUUUAGUUGGGCACUCUAGUAAGACUGCCGGUGACAAACCGGAGGAAGGUGGGGAUGACGUCAAAUCAUCAUGCCCCUUAUGACCUGGGCUACACACGUGCUACAAUGGAUGGUACAACGAGUUGCGAGACCGCGAGGUCAAGCUAAUCUCUUAAAGCCAUUCUCAGUUCGGACUGUAGGCUGCAACUCGCCUACACGAAGUCGGAAUCGCUAGUAAUCGCGGAUCAGCACGCCGCGGUGAAUACGUUGCCCGGGCCUUGUACACACCGCCCGUCACAACCAUGAGAGUUUGUAACACCCGAAGCCGGU